rnacentral:rRNA from 1 species
GUGACGAUAGCCUAGGAGAUACACCUGUACCCAUGCCGAACACAGCAGUUAAGCCCUAGAACGCCUGAUGUAGUUGGGGGUUGCCCCCUGUGAGAUAAGGGAUCGGUUAGG